rnacentral:lncRNA from 1 species
GGAUAUUUUUAUUGUCCAACACAUAGUAUAAUUAUAUAGCAUUGAAAACCAUGCAAAUAUGCAUUUAAUAAAUAACAUAACAAGCAAUAACCCCAUUGAAAAUAAAUGAAUUUUAACAUACAAGUUAUAUGCUCUUCAAAACAUAACAAAAAAAUACACAUGUGCAACAAGGGUACUUUUAUCACAGCCAUUAAAGUGUUUGUGAGCCAUAAGGAAUAUAGGGUAAACUAUUAAUCAAAACAAUUCUGGGCAAAAAAAACAUAUGACAUUAAUUCUAAACUAUGUGUAUUUGAAUAGAUCAACGUAGAAAAUUGGUCAAAUGGUUAUAAUUUCUGCUAGUUUUUUUUUUAUACAGAUCAAAGACAAUUCAUCAUUUUAUGAUGCAAAUAUAUAACUUCUGUAAAAAUAUCAUAAUCUAUAAGAGUGUAACAGGAAUAUUAAGUUCCAAAAAGUCUUAGGUCAAAGUUAAGAUUCUAAACUAUUAAAAAAAGACAUAAUUUAAUUAUGUUUGUAUAUUGAGCCACUCAGUGAUCUCUUUACCAAAACAUCAAUCUUAUAAAUUUCUACACAGGCAUCAAUGCAUUUGUCUAAUACCACAUAUUUUCCUCUAAAGGAAAUGAGGGUUAUUAUGCUUUGCAUACUGAAUAAGAUCGUAUAAAAUAAUUAAACUAAAAAAUAUAAAUAUAAUUUAAGUUGAAAAUAUUAAAAGUUUUAUCUUUCAAUAAAAACAGUCUACUGAGCAAUAGAUAACUGACAAAAUAAUCGUCAUAAAUUUUUGAUUUAUUGUAUUGCACAAACUUGUGUGUCUCUUAUCAUCAUACAUAAUUCCUAAAAUCAUUCAAAAGACAAAACAAAUUAUUUUUUUAGUCUCCUGUAUGUAACAAAUGAAAGAAAAAUAAAUACAUUUCUUUCUACUGUCCAACAAUAUUUUUCUGUGUAACCAUCCAGCAUCCACAACCUUAUAUCACAUAUAUAACAGAUGAAAUUACAGGCUAUCUCCAGUUAUUUUAAAACAUGUUGAAACUAUAGUCCUUGCAUUUUUUAUUAGCAAUUUUCUGCUUGAUUAUAACUUUGAAUAAAAAUAUACAUGUAGUUGAAUUUGCAAUUUGGUAAUAAAGGGGUAUUUAUGCGUGUAAAUUUGUAUUGAAAUAUUUUCUCAGGUAAAAUUAUUCUAGCAAGAAACAAAGGCACUAAUAUAAUGUGUAAAUUUUUAUACUAUCAGAUACUUUAUUAAGUACAAGUAGUACUGUAAUAAGAUUUUUUGAUAACUUUGACCAUGCUUAUAAAUACCUUUACCCUAUAUCAUUUGGGCAAAAUAUUUUUUCAAGAUUCAAUUUCAAAUUCAUGUCAUCAAACCAAUUAACUGGUGAUUUUAUUUCUUUGUAUAUUGAGCCACUCUGUGCUCUCUUUACCAAAACAUCAAUCUUAUAAAUUUCUACACAGGCAUCAAUGCAUUUGUCUAAUACCACAUAUUUUCCUCUAAAGGAAAUGAGGGUUAUUAUAGCUCUUUGAUGAAGAAAAAAUUGUAAGAAAGCUAGUGCAAUGUAUUUAAAAUAUUCUUACUAUCAAAUUGAUUAACUUUCUUUUUUUUCCUCAAAAGAUUUAAAUAAAAGAACUAUAAACGUGACAGUACCCAAAUUGCACAUAUUUUGACAUUUUUUUCACCUAUGUUUUUUUUAUGAUCCAGACAAAAGCUUCCUUUCUGUAUUUAUUUUGUAGAUGUAUAUCCUUGUUUACUAUAUAGGUACACCAAUUUAAUUUUGAACCCGUAUUGAAUCAUAGAUUAUGGGACUGAACAGACCUCGAAACUAUCCAGGAUAACAGAUAUUAUGUUCCAUUUCUCCAAAUAAAAAACAAUCUAACAUACGUCCAAGCUUACUAUCUAUUUUAUAAGAAAUGGAUGCUUGUAACAUAUUUAAUUUGCUCAUUUUUAAAAGAUGACUUUUUGAGAAUAAUGCGUGACGACUGUCUAGUACAGUCAGGAUUCUACUUCGUCAGAAUUAUCUCCCCAUUACGCCAGUUCAUUUUCACAAUCGUAGAAAUGGAAGCCAUUGUAGGGAUGACGCGCUACCAAUUUUGCUCAUGAAAACCGAUAAAUUUAUCCACAUUGUACCAUUACAAUCCUUAUAUGUCAGUUGUAUUUUAAAAGACAAAUGUAUCAACUAGCUUAUGAGCAUCAGUUAAUGAUAUUGUCUGCAUUGUUUCAACUUAAAACUAUUGUCUGAUCGGUUGUCAGGUGGAAUUUUCGAAAAUUCAUAAUCAUUUAAAAAAAUUCUAAUAAAAAAAUUCGUGGAAGGGCAGACUAGAUUUUUUUAGUGCAUAAAG